rnacentral:rRNA from 1 species
CAGCAGCCGCGGUAAUACGUAGGUGGCAAGCGUUGUCCGGAAUUAUUGGGCGUAAAGGGCUCGCAGGCGGUUUCUUAAGUCUGAUGUGAAAGCCCCCGGCCCAACCGGGGAGGGUCAUUGGAAACUGGGAAACUUGAGUGCAGAAGAGGAGAGUGGAAUUCCACGUGUAGCGGUGAAAUGCGUAGAGAUGUGGAGGAACACCAGUGGCGAAGGCGACUCUCUGGUCUGUAACUGACGCUGAGGAGCGAAAGCGUGGGGAGCGAACAGGAUUAGAUACCCGAGUAGUCCCUGUCUCUUAUAA